rnacentral:lncRNA from 1 species
AUGGCCCAGGCGCAUCCACCGACCCUCCCAAUGGCCCCAGGAAACACGCAGGAACUGAGCAUCUCAGGCAGCAGAAUUCUCCAUGAAAAAGGGGCUUCCAUAAAGAGAGCACUUUUGAGGGACUCUAGAGGAUGGACUUCUGGAAUCACGGAGGGUUUGUGCCUGGGACCAGCUUUGUCUAAUUUGAUUGCUAAGGCUUUGCUUAGCUCCACUGGAGAUCUGGGCCCCCAUCAAGCUGCAGAGGGGUCAAAGCUUGUGAAAGCAAGGUCUGGCUAUGGGAGUUUCCCAGGCCAGGCCAGCAGAGUGAAAGAGGGCUAACAGCUGAGGAAAGACUCCUGCUAGGGGAGGUAAGUGAAAAAAGGCUUGCCAGAGGACAAUAAUUCAGGGAGCUUUGUAGGAGUGAUGAG